AUCCAAGUGCUGGAAUGGUAGACAGGAUAAACUUAAGCUUUAUUGGUAUAUAACCGUAAACGUUCGAGUCGUUUCUUGGAUA
rnacentral:tRNA from 1 species